rnacentral:rRNA from 1 species
GAGACUCUGUGCGCGUGCAUAUCAAUAAGCGGAGGAAAAGAAACUAACAAGGAUUCCCUUAGUAACGGCGAGUGAAGCGGGAAGAGCUCAACUUUGAAAUCUUCAAGGUUCUACCUUGACGAAUUGUAGUUUAUAGAAGUGUUUUCUGUUAGUAGAGUGGCAAAAGUUCUUUGGAAUAGGACAUCAUAGAGGGUGAGAAUCCCGUAUUUGGUCAUUCCUUCCUAGCUUUGUGAUACACUUUCAACGAGUCGGAUUGUUUGGGAAUGCAGUCCAAAAUGGGUGGUAAAUUUCAUCUAAAGCUAAAUAUUGGCGAGAGACCGAUAGCGAACAAGUACCGUGAGGGAAAGAUGAAAAGAACUUUGAAAAGAGAGUUAAACAGUACGUGAAAUUGUCAAAAGGGAAGCGUUUGACACCAGUGUUGUUUUUCCGAAAAUCAAUUACGAAUGUUUUAUUUUUGAGAAGUUAUGACUUCAUCGGCUUGCUCCUUUCUUUACUGAAACUUUCUUAAUGCACUUUUCGGUUAACAAGUCAACAUCAAUUUCUUUUGUUGUAAAAGGGUAUGAGGAAGGUGGCUUUCUUUUCGGAGAAAGUGUUUAUAGCCUUGUACCUCUGCAAUCGGAGAGAUUGAGGUCUGCAGCGUAGAUCCUUCGGGGUUAGAUACAUUUGUGCUAAGUUAUAGCUUUUCAUAGACAACUUGUGGACUAUGUUUAGUCUUGUAGCUUACUCGCUUACUGCUAUUUUACCUACGCUUAGGAUGUUGAAGAUGUAGCACAUCAU